ACUGGGUGUGGCGGCUCUCGCCUGUAAUCCUAGCGGCUUGGGAGGCUGAAGCAAGAGGAUUGUUGAGUUCAAAGCCAGACUCAGCAACUUUAGCAGGGCUCUAACUAACUCAGUGAGACCUUGUCUCUA
rnacentral:sRNA from 1 species